rnacentral:lncRNA from 1 species
UUUAAUAAAAUUUUAGACAAAAAUGAUGAAUCAUCUAAUAUACCCAGAAUAUUUUAGUGUUUCUUCUUCAUUUUUCAUUUCUAUUUAGGUUUUGACCUGAUGCAGUCAAAAUUCUCAAAAAUGAGCAAUAUUUUAGCAACUGAAACUCUGAAAAGGAUAAACUGAAUAGCCUCAAGCCUGCCUAUGACAGCAAAGGGAGAAAAGGAUUUUACUUCGCAGCCAGUUAUCUGAAGAGCUGUAACUAAGGCUGGAUAUCUGUGUCCCCUCAUGCCACAUUAUUGCCACAUUAUCUUUCUUAACAGGGAGAUAGUAUUGGAUGAUGACUUCCAGCAAAACAUCAUGGUACCCCAUGAAGUCAGAGGCUGG